UGCCAGCAGCCGCGGUAAUACGAAGGGUGCUAGCGUUGUUCGGAAUUACUGGGCGUAAAGAGCAUGUAGGCGGUUAGAUAAGUCAGAGGUGAAAGCUCACAGCUUAACUGUGGAAUUGCCUUUGAUACUGUUUAACUUGAAUCAGGUUGAGGUUGGCGGAAUGUGACAUGUAGCGGUGAAAUGCAUAGAUAUGUCAUAGAACACCAAUUGCGAAGGCAGCUAGCUGGACCUGCAUUGACGCUGAGGCACGAAAGCGUGGGGAGCGAACAGGAUUAGAUA
rnacentral:rRNA from 1 species